UACGUAGGGUGCGGGCGUUAAUCGGAAUUACUGGGCAUAAAGCGUGCGCAGGCGGUCUGUUAAGACAGAUGUGAAAUCCCCGGGCUUAACCUGGGAACUGCAUUUGUGACUGGCAGGCUAGAGUAUGGCAGAGGGGGGUAGAAUUCCACGUGUAGCAGUGAAAUGUGUAGAGAUGUGGAGGAAUACCGAUGGCGAAGGCAGCCCCCUGGGCCAAUACUGACGCUCAUGCACGAAAGCGUGGGGAGCAAACAGG
rnacentral:rRNA from 1 species